rnacentral:rRNA from 1 species
CGCAUGGUAGGAGAGCGUUCCGUAAGCCUGCGAAGGUGCCUUGUAAAGGGUGCUGGAGGUAUCGGAAGUGCGAAUGCUGACAUGAGUAGCGAUAAAGGGGGUGAAAGGCCCCCUCGCCGUAAGCCCAAGGUUUCCUACGCAACGUUCAUCGGCGUAGGGUGAGUCGGCCCCUAAGGCGAGGCAGAAAUGCGUAGCUGAUGGGAAGCAGGUCAAUAUUCCUGCACCAUUGUUAGAUGCGAUGGGGGGACGGAUCGCGGAAGGUUGUCCGGGUGUUGGAAGUCCCGGUCGCUGCAUUGGAGAAGGCACUUAGGCAAAUCCGGGUGCGCAAUUCAAGGGUGUGGCGCGAGCUCCUUCGGGAGCGAAGCAAUUGGAAGUGGUUCCAAGAAAAGCCUCUAAGCUUCAGUCUAACGAUGACCGUACCGCAAACCGACACAGGUGGGCGAGAUGAGUAUUCUAAGGCGCUUGAGAGAACUCGGGAGAAGGAACUCGGCAAAUUGGUACCGUAACUUCGGGAUAAGGUACGCCCUUGUAGCUUGACUGGCCUGCGCCAGGAGGGUGAAGGGGUUGCAAUAAACUGGUGGCUGCGACUGUUUAAUAAAAACACAGCACUCUGCAAACACGAAAGUGGACGUAUAGGGUGUGACGCCUGCCCGGUGCCGGAAGAUUAAAUGAUGGGGUGCAAGCUCUUGAUUGAAGUCCCGGUAAACGGCGGCCGUAACUAUAACGGUCCUAAGGUAGCGAAAUUCCUUGUCGGGUAAGUUCCGACCUGCACGAAUGGCGUAACGAUGGCCACACUGUCUCCUCCCGAGACUCAGCGAAGUUGAAGUGUUUGUGAUGAUGCAAUCUACCCGCGGCUAGACGGAAAGACCCCAUGAACCUUUACUGUAGCUUUGCAUUGGACUUUGAACCGAUCUGUGUAGGAUAGGUGGGAGGCUAUGAAACCGGAACGCUAGUUUCGGUGGAGCCGUCCUUGAAAUACCACCCUGGUUUGUUUGAGGUUCUAACCUUGGCCCGUGAUCCGGGUCGGGGACAGUGCAUGGUAGGCAGUUUGACUGGGGCGGUCUCCUCCCAAAGCGUAACGGAGGAGUACGAAGGUACGCUAGGUACGGUCGGAAAUCGUGCUGAUAGUGCAAUGGCAUAAGCGUGCUUAACUGCGAGACCGACAAGUCGAGCAGGUGCGAAAGCAGGUCAUAGUGAUCCGGUGGUUCUGUAUGGAAGGGCCAUCGCUCAACGGAUAAAAGGUACUCUGGGGAUAACAGGCUGAUACCGCCCAAGAGUUCAUAUCGACGGCGGUGUUUGGCACCUCGAUGUCGGCUCAUCUCAUCCUGGGGCUGUAGCCGGUCCCAAGGGUAUGGCUGUUCGCCAUUUAAAGAGGUACGUGAGCUGGGUUUAAAACGUCGUGAGACAGUUUGGUCCCUAUCUGCCGUGGGCGUUGGAUAUUUGAAGGGGGCUGCUCCUAGUACGAGAGGACCGGAGUGGACGAACCUCUGGUGUACCGGUUGUCACGCCAGUGGCAUCGCCGGGUAGCUAUGUUCGGAAGAGAUAACCGCUGAAAGCAUCUAAGCGGGAAACUCGCCUUAAGAUGAGAUAUCCCUGGGGACUAGAUCCCCUUGAAGGGUCGUUCGAGACCAGGACGUUGAUAGGUCAGGUGUGUAAGCGCAGUAAUGCGUUCAGCUAACUGAUACUAAUUGCCCGUAAGGCUUGAUCCU